ACAGCCAUAUCCUGUAGAAACCGGUUCUCAUCCGAUCCCCGAAGUAAGCAACGUGGAACCUGGUCAAUACCUAGAUGGGUAACCGCUUGGGAAUACCCAGUGCUGUAAG